GGCAGUCGGAUCAAGUAGGAAACUCAGUCUUAGCUACCGGUGAGCUAUCAUUGAUCCGAGUGCACGUCCGGGAUGCCCAUGAGCUACUGGUGAUGAGUCCGCUGCUGGUUCAUGAAAACUCUGCUUCGAUUGCUCAAUAUUAGCCGAUUUAUUUUAGGCCAUCCAAUGAGCAUCUACUCCAUUCGAUCUCCGAUCAAGGCUUAAUCGGUGUCAAAAUAAAGCUUGAGGAGUGUAGAUCAUGAUCCCCAAGUCCGAUCGUCCAAAUCAGCCGCUGGUUGGCUAGGAUGUGGUCGGAAAGUCACGAAAACUCUAAACUUCUCUUCCUUUGAUCUCACUCAUUUGGCCACCAAAUGAUGCAAAAUUGGUCUCAAAAGAAAGUUGGGUUCAUGAGGAUUCCAAUGGUACCUAGAUCGUCGAUAAAGGCUGCUGGACGCCCGCUAGAACGACACCGGAAAAAUCUUGCCUUCAUGCGUGCCGUUUCUCUAUCCUCCCUUGCCUGCCACCGCUGCAGCUAUUUCUACCACCGUUCAUGUCCUCUGAAGUGUUGCCAGUCAGUGUGGAGCAGCAGAAAGGUUGCCG
rnacentral:misc_RNA from 1 species